rnacentral:rRNA from 1 species
UGCUAGUCGCACGAGUUCAGACUCGUGGCGAAUAGCUCAGUAACACGUGGCCAAACUACCCUUCGGAGCUCCAUACCCUCGGGAAACUGAGGCUAAUAGAGCAUACCACAAUCCAGCUGGAAUGAGGAUUGUGUCAAACGCUCCGGCGCCGAAGGAUGUGGCUGCGGCCGAUUAGGUAGACGGUGGGGUAACGGCCCACCGUGCCAAUAAUCGGUACGGGUCAUGAGAGUGAGAACCCGGAGACGGAAUCUGAGACAAGAUUCCGGGCCCUACGGGGCGCAGCAGGCGCGAAACCUUUACACUGCACGCCAGUGCGAUAAGGGGAUCCCAAGUGCGCAGGCAUAGAGCCUGCGCUUUUGUACACCGUAGGGAGGUGUACGAAUAAGGGCUGGGCAAGACCGGUGCCAGCCGCCGCGGUAAUACCGGCAGCCCGAGUGAUGGCCGAUUUUAUUGGGCCUAAAGCGUCCGUAGCUGGCCGCGCAAGUCCAUCGGAAAAUCCACCCGCCCAACGGGUGGGCGUCCGGUGGAAACUGCGUGGCUUGGGACCGGAAGGCGCGACGGGUACGUCCGGGGUAGGAGUGAAAUCCCGUAAUCCUGGACGGACCGCCGAUGGCGAAAGCACGUCGCGAGGACGGAUCCGACAGUGAGGGACGAAAGCCAGGGUCUCGAACCGGAUUAGAUACCCGGGUAGUCCUGGCCGUAAACAAUGUCUGUUAGGUGUGGCUCCCACUACGAGUGGGUGCUGUGCCGUAGGGAAGCCGCUAAACAGACCGCCUGGGAAGUACGUCCGCAAGGAUGAAACUUAAAGGAAUUGGCGGGGGAGCACUACAACCGGAGGAGCCUGCGGUUUAAUUGGACUCAACGCCGGACAUCUCACCAGCAUCGACUGUAGUAAUGACGAUCA